UCCCUGGUGGCUCAGAUGGUAAAGCGUCUGCCUGCAAUGCAGGAGACCUGGGUUCGAUCCCUGGGUCGGGAA
rfam:Ovis aries breed Texel chromosome 1, whole genome shotgun sequence.